UACGUAGGAGACGAGCGUUGUCCGGAGUUACUGGGCGUAAAGGGUGCGCAGGUGGCGGCGCGCGUGGGGGGUGAAAUCGCCCGGCUCAACUGGGCGGGGUCAGCGGAUACGGCAGAGCUUGAGCAAGCUAGGGGGCAAUGGAAUUCCCGGUGUAGUGGUGGAAUGCGUAGAUAUCGGGAGGAACACCAGUGGCGAAGGCGGGUCUCUGGGCCGAUACUGACGCUGAGGAGCGAAAGCGUGGGGAGCGAACAGG
rnacentral:rRNA from 1 species